UACGAAGGGGGCUAGCGUUGCUCGGAAUCACUGGGCGUAAAGCGCACGUAGGCGGAUCUUUAAGUCAGGGGUGAAAUCCCAAGGCUCAACCUUGGAACUGCCUUUGAUACUGGGGAUCUCGAGUACGGAAGAGGGUCUCGGAAUUCCCGGUGUAGAGGUGAAAUUCGUAGAUAUCGGGAGGAACACCAGUGGCGAAGGCGGAGACCUGGGCCGAUACUGACGCUGAGGUGCGAAAGCGUGGGGAGCAAACAGG
rnacentral:rRNA from 1 species